UAUGUUGCUUUACUGUAUGUUCACGAGAGCCUGUUGCGUGUGUUGUUAGCAUGGCAGCUAAUGUGGCUAACGUUUAGCAUCGUCAACACGCAGCCGGGUGUAGCCGGGUACAGAUUGUAUGCAAUUCUUCUGCUUGGUGUCGCCGUGUGACAUUGAUUAGAGCCACCCUGUUAAAUGUAUUAUACUUUAAAGGCGUUUUAGCUGUCUGUAAAGUCGAGCCGGCAAAAUUCUGACUAAAAUUAGGCUCUGUAUUGAUUAGCAUAGGUGUCCGGGCUUGUUUAUUAGUGAUGUGAAAGUUAUUGUUGAGAGUCAUGCCUUAUGAUGGCUGUUUUAACGCUUAUAUCAUGUUUACAGAUACAGUGCCUGUAGGGAAUAUCUAGAUAAGUGCAGAGUUAAGGGGAUAUGUCCAAGGGUAUAGUCCGUAAUACCCAUGUUUUGCAUUUUGCACAUAUAGUGAGCUAUUUGCAGCAUUUACAAGCUAUUGACAAACCCAAUUUACACAUAAUUGAGUGCAUUUGUUGUUAUCAUUUUUGCACUGCUUGCAGCUGUUGCCAUAACUACUGCCUCUGUUUCCUCUGUUCAGGCCAGCACAUCAAGUGCAUCUAUACAGCUUCCUGCAACAAGGGAUGUUGCAUGCCAGACUGACCCACUGUAGGCACACAGUUAUCCUUAAGACUCUUCAGCCUCACAUCAGAAGUACAGACUCUACCUGGCUGCCAUGUCCUACAAUGAAAAUGCUGACCGACCACAAGCCCAAACAAAAGAAGGGAAUGUGGUGGACCUCAUAUUUGAAAAAGUCUUUGUUGACCUGGGAGCAUACGCAGAAGCUGCUUUGGCCAUCCCCAUCCCAGAGGACCUCACUGCACAGUUCGAGCGGCCUGAGAAGGAGGAGGUCAAAUCCAGCUAUGUGUCCCGGUUCUAUCAUGGGGCAGUGUAAAACCCACAUACUGGCAUGUGGCGUCAGGAAACUCGGCAUGGAUGCGUAGGACCAGGCAGGCUGGAAUGACGACCAAGAUUCUGCGACAAAGGAAGCACCAGCUCACAAAGCUCCUAUAGGCUAGAUACCUGUACCGACUAAAACAACUGGACAGGGCAUUUAGUCUUGCAAACAUAUAUCUAUGUUGUGUCUCACAAUUUUUUUUUAUGGAUCCAGUGAAUCCUACUGUUUUUUUAUUAUCACUGAUUAUAAGUCCCUCAUUUGAUGUAAAUAAAUGCUUGAUUGUUACUAAAGAAA